rnacentral:lncRNA from 1 species
CACUCUGUCACUCAGGCUGGAGUGAAGUGGUGCAAUCACAGUUCACUGAAACCUUGAACUCCUGGGUACAAGGAAUCCUCCUGUCUGGAACUACAGGAAGAAGAUGAUUUUUCACCUAGUGGAGUCAUUGAACAGUGGUCUUCAAAUUGGGAUUAUUUCCAAGAAUAGAUUAAAAUGCCAUGAAAAAGAAAAAAUUAUAGAAAAGCAAAAAGAGCUGAAUGCAGUGAAUGAACAUCUGUGAAUGAAGUUGAGAAGGUAUAUGUGGGGCAGACUAGAAUUGCAGUGCACAGAUACAAGAAUGUUGCCUGCUUUGGAGCCAAGACUGCCUUCCGGAUAAAGGGCCCACAGAGAGCUGAGAGCUGUGUAAUACCUCAAAGACUGAAGAAAAGAGUUAGACAGCCAUCUUUCCUUAGAGGAUUUUGCUGCAGACAGCUUGAACUACCAGAAGGUUAUAUACUGACCAUGGGUAGAGUAAGGAAGAAAUACAUCCUUCGGAAAGGACAAUGAAGAUCUUUACAGCAGGGGGCAUAUCUCAGGGGAACCUGAUGAAAGCCAACGCACAAUGUAAGAACUUUCACUGUAAGGAAAAUUUGAAGGCCUGGCAUGGUGGUGGCUCCCACCUAUGAUCCCAGCACUUUGGGAAGUGGAGGUGGGCAGAUCACUUGAGGCCAACAGUUUGAGACCAG